GGKUAAAGCACUGUUUCGGUGCGGGCUGGGAGACCGGUACCAAAUCGAKWCRAACUUCAGRAUACCCAGAGCACACAUUGCCAGUGAGACGGUGGGGGAUAAGCUUCAUCGUCAAGAGGGAAACAGCCCAGACCACCAGCUAAGGUCCCCAAAUCAUCGCUAAGUGAUAAAGGAGGUGGGAAUGCACAGACAACUAGGAGGUUUGCCUAGAAGCAGCCACCCUUGAAAGAGUGCGUAAUAGCUCACUAGUCAAGCGUUCCUGCGCCGAAAAUGAACGGGGCUAAGCGAUGUACCGAAGCUGUGGAUUAGUGAAUAACUAAUGGUAGGGGAGCGUUCCGUGGUAGGAAGAAGCAGUAGCGGCAAGCAGCUGUGGACGAGACGGAAGUGAGAAUGUCGGCUUGAGUAGCGCAAAUAUUGGUGAGAAUCCAAUACCCCGAAACCCUAAGGGUUCCUCCGCCAGGUUCGUCCUCGGAGGGUUAGUCGGGUCCUAAGGCGAGGUCGAAAGGCGUAGUCGAUGGACACAGGGUGAAUAAUCCCUGACUAUGAUGUGGGAGCAUUAUUAGGGACGCAUGAGAGAUAGCCACACCCUGAUUGGUUUGGGAGACGGUUACGACCGUCGAGUGGUGAAGAAUAGUGCCAAGAAAAGCUAGUAAUGUGAUGAACACAUUGUACCCGUACCCGWAAMCGACACAGGUAGGGARSUUGAGUAUACCAAGGGGCGCGARAUMACUCUCUCUAAGGAACUCGGCAAAAUGGCCCCGUAACUUCGGGGAGAAGG
rnacentral:rRNA from 1 species